rnacentral:lncRNA from 1 species
UUAAUCAAAAUGGCAUAUGAGGUUAGGAGUAGUGGGAUCCAAGGACUAUUUCUGAAUUUGAACAUCUGUAGAUGGCCCCAUGAUGAGUAGAUUGGAGCUCUUAUAGGGAGGGAACGUUGGGCAUUAGUAAAGAAUAAGGGUGUGCUAACCACCCUGUGCCUCACAACAGUAAGAAGAAUUUGGCAGUCCUGCAGCAGCAGGUGCAUUGCCUCUCCCUACUCUGGCAGCUCUAUAACCUGGAGGCCACAGCCAGUAGCUACAGGUUUGCCUGCCUGGCUACUCUUAUGCAGAAGAAUUCAGCUGAUGAGUUUGCAAAUGAAGCCCAGGUUUGCCCAGGAAUCACAGUGGGACCUGUUUAAGCACUAUUUCUCCAACGCUUGCAGUUGGUGAAAAGAACCAAUGCCUCGCUAUUUGGUGCACAUGGCUUUGUCCGAUUCCUAGAAUGCCAUGUGUUAAUGUUACAGAAAAUGCCAGAGGGUAUCUUCAUGCAUAUUCCUCUAGAGCUUCACAGCCAAACCCUUGAGGCUUAUUUUGCCAUCAGUAACUCCUUCCUGUUCCCCCAGCCAUGAGUGAAUAUGCUGAAUGAGGACCUUUUACUGUAAGGAGUUCUUCUCUCAAUGUGUGACCUGCCCUGUCUAUCACCAGUGGGUAUCUGAGCUUAAGGCCUCUGUAAUGAGAUGUGAAAAGAGAGAAUUGAUGUCCCUGACUAACAGCAUCAGACCUUUU